rnacentral:lncRNA from 10 species
AGCCCCUGUCACGUACUGCCUGCUUGCUCAAAUCAAUCACCACCCUUUCAUGUGAAAUCUUUAGUGUUGUGAGCCCUUAAAAGGGACAGAAAUCGUGCAUUCGGGGAGCUCGGAUUUUAAGGCAGUAGCUUGUCGAUGCUCCCAGCUGAAUAAAGCCCUUCCUUCUACAACUCUGAGAGUUGUCUGAGAGGUUUUGUCUGUGGCUCAUCCUGCUCCAUUUCUUGGUUCCCUAACCGGGAAGCGAGAUGACUGAUGGUCGGCCAAGGCAGCCUCUUAGGCGGCUUAAGCCUGCCCUGUGGAGCAUCCCUGCAGGGGACUCUGGCCAGCCUGAGUGACGCAAUCCAAAGAGCGCUCCAGGAAGCAGGGUCAGCUUCUUCAAAGGAUCACAAUCCAUCCCCACUGUGAACUAGCAGCAGAGCCCUGCAUGUAACUCAGAGGAGAGGAAAGUAAAACAUUACUGAUAUCCAAGCAAGGCAGUCAAUCUUCUGAGUGAUACUUCCAGAAUUCACUAUGAGACAUGUUUGGUACAGCUGUUGAGAGGUACCUGAUGGAGAGAGCUGCAAGAUGACCACCUUGCAAGGUUCAACGCGCUGUGUGGGGGUUGCAACUGUAAUCAGAACAUGACAUGGUUCUGCACAAGUGAACCCAUAGUCUACUAGUGAAAUAGACUAACUAAUAUGUUAAGAAGCAUAAUGAGAUAUUCUAUAAUUGAUAUCUAGAAAAAGUUAUAUGGCACCCAAAAAAGAGAUAACUAUUUACCUGAGUGUUUUCAGGGUUAGCCUUUGAAUGAAGGAAUGAGUUGAAACAAUAAUGGAAAGAUAGUAGGUAUAAACUAAGCUAUAUUGCUAAUUAAGUUAAAUAUAGAUAAACUGAAUGCAUGAAUUGUCAGCAAUUACAAGACUGGAUAAAACAGUAAUCUCCCAGCAACAAGCAAGAGAGUCCUAUAGAAGACCUGACAACAAUGAUGAAUGAGGACAGAGACAGAAAACACUGUGAUCCUUGAUGUUAUCAUUGAAUCACUUGAAUCCUGCUUUGACAUUGACUUCCAAGUAUGUGAUACAAUUAACUGCCUUAAUGGUUUAAGGCACUUGGAAGGGCUUUUGGUGCUCUUGCAAUUGAAACCAUUACAACAUAACACACAUAGAAAGAGUAUCCGUUAAAAAUUUUUUGAAAGAAAAGAAGAAUGAAGGAAGGAAGAAAGGAAGGAAGGAGAGAAGGAAGAAAAGAAAGAAAGGAAGGAAGAAAAGAAGUCUCAAGAACUCAGAUGUCUUGAUUUAUACUAGUUGAAAAAUGGCCAAACAACUUAUCUGCACCAUGAAUUACGUAUAUAUAUAUAUAUAUAUAUAUAUAUAUAUAUAUAUAUAUAUAUAUAUGUAAUUAUCUAUAUAUAUGAUUUUUGUACUUCUUAAACUCAGUUUAAAAUUAUAUAUAUAAUUAUAUAUAUAUAUAUAUAAUUUUAAACUGAAUUCAAGAAGUACAAAAGUACAAAAUCCCUUUCAUUGUACAUUUUUUAAAUAGAUGUACCUUUAAAGUAGAGUGAUAUUUUCAGAGUAAUCAAUAUAAUCUUGGGUUUAGAGACUUCAUGUUGGGUGAAUAUAUUCUUAUCUGAUAAGAAAGAUGAAAUAAUAACACAUUCUUUGAAUGUUUCCAGAUGAUAACAUUUGUAAUAUGAGGCCAAAUAAUUUGGUUUGUUAUCGUCUUACACAGGUUAUUCAAAGCAGCAGGAUUAGAGGAAGCAGAGAACUAACUAGUUUUUAAUUUGAAUACAUCAUCGAAGCACCCCAAUUAGCCACCUGCAUUCCUGCAGUAUUUUUUCAGCAUGUAAUCAAAAGAAUAUUAUUUACUUUGAUGAUUAAUAAAAAUGGUCUGCCAAGUGUUUGCUCUUUAAUGGGAAAAUAAUGGGCAACAUUAAGGAAAAGAAACAGUAUCCAUAUGCAUGAUCUUUGAGACAUUUCCAUUCAUUCAGAAGCUGACUCUGUCACUGUAAAUGGCAAACAAUCAGGAAAUGAAAAUAAAAUUCUUCUACAAAUUAUCUUUCAUCUGAGAAUAUUGUUGGACCCUACAGAUAACUUUAUUAAUAUGUUUAUAGAUCUGUGGAACAGUUAUCAGCUAAUACGGGAAGAAGUCUAAGGUAGCGUCAAUUCUAAAUUUAAGGAAUUACCUCUACCUUGGUCAAGAGGAAGUCUUUAUUGCAUCCAAUUAACCCCCUGCGUAUGUGUUCUCUGGUUUAGAAUUUGGUGGGGAUGUCUACGUGGAGAUAUUGACUUGACAUUUAUUAAAAAAGAAGAAAAGACUGCAAAGGAAAACUAACAAAAUUCACACAUCCUGACUGUGUACGAAUAAUAUGAUGAGACACCCAAAUGCAUUCAGCAGCCUUUCUGUGAAAUAAUAUGCCAAUCUUUAAGGAAAAAAAGUUUCUGGCUUUCCACAGGAGACAUAAAGCAUGAAUAUAUUUUUAUGUAUUUUUUUAAUUGACAAAUAACAUUGUAUGAUUUUGUUGUGUACAACAUGGCAUCCUGAAGUAUAUAUACAACGACUAAAUCUAGCUAAUUAACAAAGGCAUUACCUCUCAUAGUUAUCAUUGUUGUGCUGAGAGUAUAUAACACUCAUUCUUUUUAUAUUUUUAAAGAAUAUUAUAUAUUGUCAUUAUCUAUAGUCACCUUGCUGUACAGAGAUCUGAAAUGUAUUACUUCUGUCUAACUGUACCUAUGUAUUCCAUGACCAAUAUCUCCCUAUCUCAUUUCCUCUAAAAACCCCAGCCUCUGGGAACCAUCAUUUUCCUCUCUACUUCAAUGAAAUGAACUUUUUUUCAAUUUCAUGUAUCAGUGAAAGAUCAUGUGGUAUUUGUAUUUCUUUGCUUGUCUUAUUUUCCGUAACAUAAUGUCUUCCAGGUUCAUCUAUGUGUUUACAAAUGGUAGAAUUGCAUUUUCUUUCAGGCUGAAUAAUAUGCCAUUGUGUAUAUAUUAUAUAUUUUCUUUAUCCGUCACCCACUGAUGGACCUUUAGGUUAAUUCCAUAUCUCAGCUACUGUGAAUAGUAUUACAAUAAACAUGAGAAAGCAGUUAUUUGGGGCAUCCGAUUUCAUGUCCUUUGCAAAUAUACCCAAUAGCGGGAUUGCAGAACCAUAGAGUACUUUCUAUUUUUCAUGUUUUUAGAAAGAGAGUUGUUCAUAAUGACUGUACUAAUUUUCAUUCCCAUCAACUGUGUAUAACUGUUCCCUUUUCUCCAUAUUGUUGUCAAUAUAUAUCUUUUGUCUUUUAAUAAUAGCUAUUUGAACUGGGAUGAGGUAGUAUUUCAUUGUCGUUUUUGAUUUGUGAAGUUGAGUAUUUUUUACUUAUCUGUUGGCCAUUUGUACAUUUUCUUUUAAGAAAUGUCUAUUCAGGUCUUUUGCCUAUUUUUUAAUUAGGUUAUUAUUAUCAUUAUUAUUAUUUUUGCAAAAGCUAGUGGUAUCACACUAUCUGACUUCAAAAUAGACAACAAAUUAUAGUAACAAAAAUAGCAUGGUAUUGGCAUAAAAACAGCUACAUAGACCAAUGUAACAAGACAGAGAGCCCAGAAUAAACUGCAUUUACAGCCAAUUGUUUUUUGACAAAAAUACGAAGAAUGCACACUGGGAAAAGGAGAGUUUCUUUAAUAAAAUUUUUGAGAAAACUAGAUAUCUACAUGCAGAAGAAUUAAAUUAAACCUUAUCUCUUUGCCUAUAAAAGUCAACUAGAAGUGGAGUAAGAAAUUAAAUGUAAGACCUGAAACUAUGAUAGCACUAGAAGAAACACAAGGACAAUGCUUCAUGCAGUUGGUCUGGGCAAGAAUUUUUUGAAUAUGUCAUCACAAACCUAGGCAGCAAAAACAAAAAUAGACUAAUGGGGUGACAGCAAACUAAAAAUCUUCCACACAGCAAAAGAAACAAUCAACAAAGUGAAAACAGAAUUACAUAAUAGAAGAAAAUAUUUGAAACUAUACAUCUCACAAGGAGUUAAUAUCCCAAUAUAUAAGGGAGUCAAAGCACAGACUUAAAAUCUUAGUGUAAACUAUCUAUUUAACUUUUUUAAAAAAUUAGACUUCAUUAAAUUAACUUCAUUGUUAUCUAUUUUAUUAGUUUUUAAGAAUAUGUCUUUCUUAUUAUUUUGGAAAGAUUUUUUCUUAAGGGCAAUUUAGAAGUUUUUUCUCAUAUAAUUCUGAUAAAUUGACUGUAAAACAUUUGUUACAUGAAAGCAAGCAGAGUCUAAAAAAAAAGUCAGAUGGUAAGUAAAAUUUUCAUGAAAAUGAAAGGCACCUCCAAAGCACCAUUUGCAUACAUCAGUGUGCUAAUGCUACUUUCCCAAUAUCACCUGCAGCUUCUUACAUCUCUAAUGGAAAUUGAAUGAAUUCACAGAUUAUUAGCUUGUAGGAGCCUUAGUAGAGAAUAAAAUCUUAGCAGGUUUAGCAUAUUCUGUGGCAGCAGUACACAAUACUAAAGUAGCUAAAGAGUCUUGGCUUGUCUGCUUAAGUGCAUAUAUCUUAUUUUAAUAUUUUUAGUGCCAUUUUCCAAAUUAAAUAUUGAAGUGGUCUUGUUUUCACUGAAUAGAAUAAGAAAUGGCCCCUUUGCAUUAGGACUGGGAAAGAAAACAUUUCUACUUAAAAAGCAUUAGCGAUGCAAUGUGGUGCGUUUUUGAGUUGCAUUUUAUCAAUUUAUUUGACUUGAAAUACAGCGAUAUAUAAAUGUUAGUAGUCACUAAGCACAUGGCAGGCAGGUGCAGCAUGCUUUGCCAGUGGAGAGCUGACAUUUUUAUGAGAUUGCUCAGCUGGAAUGGCAAAGGAGCAUUGGAGAAGUAAGAGAGAAACAGCUGUCACCCACUCAUUUUAUUUUCAAUUGUAGUAUCUUGGAGGGAAAGAAAUUACAUUAAAAUGAAAUAUCUAUCAUGAUUGAGAUAGAGGCAUUAUAUCCAUGCUGUUUGAAUCCAUUACCUUUACAUUGAAAGAAUUUUAAAUGCAUAAUAAUAUGUCUUAUCAGGAUAUAUUCAGAGAAAUAUGUGUUUAUUGAGCUGAAAUGCAUUAUAUAUUAUGUAUGGUAACCACAAUCUAAAAUUACAUGUUUUUUUUUCUUUGUGAUAAUGUGAAUACCUUAAUUGAGCCUCAUUCUCUUUUCCAGUACCUCUUUUGACAAAUGCUAGGCAUGGUUAAGAGAACAAUGUAAGAUUCUAGAAUAAAGAAAUGCAAAGAAAAAUACAUGUUACCCAAACUGAUAAUCUUGUCAUUUGAAAUAAGCAACUGAGCUAGUGGAUCAAUCAAGUACACCAAGAAAACAAACCAAUAUAGAGAAACUCUGAUAAAGAGACUACAAUGGGGGGGUUGGUUACAAAAAGGACAAACUACUAAGGAGGACAGAGUAUUCGGCAGUCUUCCAGAAGGACAAAUGCAUUAGGAUUUGAAAAAUAUAAUUAUAUUGCAAAAGUGAAAAGAAAAUCAUUCCUAAUAAAAUAUAUUUGAGAAGCAUUAUGAAAAGGUAUAAAUUAAUUACAUAUAGGUGGGAAACGGAAGAAAACCUCUUUUGUAAAACCAAGUGAAAAUGAUUGCCAAUGAUGUUUAUAAAGAGAUUUGAAGGCUGGGUGCAGUGGCUCACACUUGUAAUCCCAGGACUUUGGGAGGCUGAGGCGGGCAGAUCACCUGACAUCAGGAUUUUGAGACCAGCUUGACCAACAUGGAGAAACCCCGGAUCUACUAAAAAUACAAAAUUAGCUGGGCAUGGUGAGACAUGCCUGUAAUCCCAGCUACUCAGGAGGUUGAGGCAGGAGAAUCACUUGAACACUGGAGGCAGAGAUGGCAGUGAGCCGAGAUCACACCAUUGCACUCCAGCCUGGGCAACAAGAGUGAAACUUCAUCUCAAAAGAACAACAACAAAAAUAAAUUAAAAAAUAAAGAGAUUUGAAAUCAUAGACUGGAGAUGAUUAAGUGGGUCACAAUGUUAUCUUUGUUUCUGCAGCUUACCUCUAACCUUACCCCCACAACCAAGACAAAUCCAAGAUUAUGAAACUUUGGUUGGCGAAGACUUUGUGAUUUUAUUGACAGCAUAAUGUAGGACAAGUGGCUUUCAGAAAAAUGACAUCAGAGAAAGAAUGGAUGUACCACUUUUACAUUAAAAUAAUUCUACCAAAUUAGAAAUGCAUGUAUUAUGAUAUUAUAGAAGAAAGUAGUUAAUACCCAGAAAUAGGGGAUUUCUUGAGCUCCUCUCUUCCAUCUAUUUUGAGUUACAUCUUAUACCUCCUCCUUUCUGUAGAGGGAUUGGACUUGAGAUUUAAAAGAAAAAAUUAUUGAUUCACUGAAGAUUCUUGUUCUCAAGUCAAAAAAGGAGCCUCAACAAAAGCAAAAUAAAAGGAACCAUGGAAAGAGAAGAGGAGAGGAAAUCUUCAGAAAAAAGCAGCAGCCUCCAGAAGCACCAUUUGAAAGAUUUUGGUAGAAAGGCUGUAAAGGAGAGACACAGCUAACCUGGACAUAUGAUGAUUUACAUCUCACUCACAAACCUGGAGCUGUCAGCCAAGUUCUGAUGAAACAAUCUCUUGGGGGAUGAUUAUGUACAUCUUUGCAAAAAAAUGGAAAACUCUUUUCCCACAUCUCAUCACCAUAAAUAAGAGAGAAAUAGUUAUUGUGAAUUACACCUCAAUGAAGAGAUGUAGGCCUAGACAGCAACAGGCUACGUGACUGAAAAAAAAAAAGUAAUUGAUGUUAAUCAGUCUGACUUCUAUGUUUUCCAAGGUUAUUUAGAGAUCAAUUUUUGAAAAAGAAAAGCAUUUAAUGAACUAAUUUACUCAGUAAUAAUAAAAUGCAGGCAUAAAAGGUAAUGCAAAUAUCUGUUGAAUAACUAAUAUAAGCCAGGCCUUAUUAUAGGUGGGGAUAUAGCAGUAAAUAAAAUAGACAAAGUCCUGUCCAUAUGUUGAUUAUAUACCAGUGGAGAUGUGCUACAUAUAACAAAUUGGAAUAACAUGAAUAAGGAGGAAGAAAAGCAAGAGGAAGAAAAAUGGUGCAAACUGCAAAGCUACCUGAGAGAAACGACAAUAAGCUGUCAAACGGAUAUCUUACAAGUUGAGCAUGUGUUGCUUUGACAAAUUUGCUUCCAUGGUAGUAUCACCCAAUAAAAAUGAACUUCUUAGAGAUAAAAAAUUAAACAAAUUCAUUAUUUUAAAAGUGAAAUUAAAUUUAUUAAUUCACAAUAAAAGGACAACCUAUUAUCAUAUAUUCUCUCUCCAGGCAAAGGUUAAAGUAGCAUUUUUAAAGAAAUAUUUAUUUUUAAGUUACAGAGUACACAUGCAGGAUGUGCAGGUUUGUUACAUAGGUAAACGUGUGCAUUGGUGAUUUGAUGCACCUAUAAACCCAUCAUCUAGGUAUUAAGCCC